rnacentral:rRNA from 1 species
GCUAAGGCCCCUAAAUGAUUACUAAGUGAUAAAGGAUGUGGGAAUGCUGAGACAAUCAGGAGGUUCGCCUAGAAGCAGCUAUCCUUUAAAGAGUGCGUAAUAGCUCACUGAUCAAGUGCACCUGCGCCGAAAAUGAACGGGGCUAAGUAAUCUGCCGAAGCUGUGGGAUUUAUUAUAAUCGGUAGGGGAGCGUUCCACAUUAGAUAGAAGCAUUAGCGUAAGCGGGUGUGGACGACGUGGAAGUGAGAAUGUCGGCUUGAGUAGCGAAAACAUUGGUGAGAAUCCAAUGCCCCGAAAACCUAAGGGUUCCUCCGGAAGGCUCGUCCACGGAGGGUGAGUCAGGGCCUAAGGUGAGGCCGAAAGGCGUAGCUGAUGG